AUAAUCUUUAUGAUUAUGAUGAUGAUGAAGACGACUACAAUAUGAAUGAAGAUAAUAAUGGUACAGUCCUACUUGCAGUUUCUUUCUUCUUUUAUUUGAUGCAGCAUUAUUGAUUACUUCUUAUUGCCGUUCGAAUGCUUUUGAAUAAUGCUAAGGAACGUGUGUUGAAGAUGAAGGCAUGUAUUGAAGGUUGCUUGUUGGGGCGGUUUUUGCUUGCCUUAGGAAAUUUUUCGGAGAUUGAAGUCUUUAAUUAUGUUAUUGGAUUUUCUAGAAAGCUUACCUCACACACCGGCCUUGUAUACUAGCAACAACAUUUAACUUUGGGCUAUCAGUUACAACAUUUUUGCCUUCUUUUAGAAAAAUAUUUCCUAAUGUUAUAAAUCCACU
rnacentral:lncRNA from 1 species